rnacentral:rRNA from 1 species
GCCUGCCCAGUGAAUCUUUUAACGGCCGCGGUAUCCUAACCGUGCAAAGGUAGCGUAAUCAUUUGUUCUUUAAAUAAGGACUUGUAUGAACGGCACCAUGAGGAACGACUUGUCUCUCGUACUAAGUCUAUGAAACUGACCUCCAAGUACAAACGCUUGAAUGAAUACACAAGACAAGAAGACCCUGUGGAGCUUAAAACCCAUCAGCCCACCAAUUAUCCAACUGAGCUGCGGUUUUUAGUUGGGGCGACUUUGGAGCAAAACAAAACCUCCAAACUACUUUACCUUAGGCGGCCGCGCCGAUACCCCCAUCAAUUAAUUGACCCAAUAAAAUUGAUUAAUGAACCAAGUUACCCCAGGGAUAACAGCGCAAUCUUCUUCUAGAGUCCCUAUCGACAAGAAGGUUUACGACCUCGAUGUUGGAUCAGGAUAUCCAAAUAGUGCAGCCGCUAUUAAAGGUUCGUUUGUUCAACGAUUAAUAAUCCUACGUGAUCUGAGUUCAGACCGG